GAGGGUAUAGCUUAGUGGUAGAGCACAUGCUUAAUGUGUAUGAGGUCCUGGGUUCAAUACCCAGUACCUCUA